rfam:Triticum aestivum genome assembly, contig: Triticum_aestivum_CS42_TGACv1_scaffold_221277_3B
AAGGUACUCCCUCCGUCCCAAAAUUCUUGUCUUAAAUUUGUCUAAAUACGAAUGUAUCAAAUCAAGUUUUAGUAUUAGAUAUAUCCGUAUCCAGACAAAUCUAAGACAAAAAUUUUGAGUCAGAGGGAGUAUAAG